rnacentral:rRNA from 1 species
GACGAACGCUGGCGGCGUGCUUAACACAUGCAAGUCGAACGGAAAGGCCCUGCUUUUGUGGGGUGCUCGAGUGGCGAACGGGUGAGUAACACGUGAGUAACCUGCCCUUGACUUUGGGAUAACUUCAGGAAACUGGGGCUAAUACCGGAUAGGAGCUCCUGCUGCAUGGUGGGGGUUGGAAAGUUUCGGCGGUUGGGGAUGGACUCGCAGCUUAUCAGCUUGUUGGUGGGGUAGUGGCUUACCAAGGCUUUGACGGGUAGCCGGCCUGAGAGGGUGACCGGCACAUUGGGACUGAGAUACGGCCCAGACUCCUACGGGAGGCAGCAGUGGGGAAUAUUGCACAAUGGGCGGAAGCCUGAUGCAGCAACGCCGCGUGCGGGAUGACGGCCUUCGGGUUGUAAACCGCUUUCGCCUGUGACGAAGCGUGAGUGACGGUAAUGGGUAAAGAAGCACCGGCUAACUACGUG